rnacentral:tRNA from 1 species
GCCCCGGUAGCUCAGUGGUAGAGCUCCUGUAUAUGGUGAGCGAAAGCGUCUAGCAAUAACUGUCAGGAGUCGCAGGUUCGACCUCCUGACAUGGUUCG